GAAAAAUAACAAUGCAGGACUCGUUCGAGGCCCUGUAAUUGGAAUGAGUACACUUUAAAAGCUUUAACGAGUAUCCAUUGGAGGGCAAGUCUGGUGCCAGCAGCCGCGGUAAUUCCAGCUCCAAAAGUAUAUAUUUAAGUUGUUGCGGUUAAAAAGCUCGUAGUUGGAUUUUGGGCGCAGGCGGCCGGUCCGUCGCAAGGCGUGUACUGGACGUCCUGGCCUUCCCUCCGGUUCUCCGCCGGUGCUCUUGACUGAGUGUCGGCGGCGGCCGGAACGUUUACUUUGAAAAAAUUAGAGUGUUCAAAGCAGGCUCUCGAGCCUGGAUAAUGGUGCAUGGAAUAAUGGAAUAGGACCUCGGUUCUAUUUUGUUGGUUUUCGGAGCGCGAGGUAAUGAUUAAGAGGGACAGACGGGGGCAUUCGUACUGUGCCGUUAGAGGUGAAAUUCUUGGAUCGGCGCAAGACGAACGACUGCGAAAGCAUUUGCCAAGAAUGUUUUCUUUAAUCAAGAGCGAAAGUCAGAGGUUCGAAGACGAUCAGAUACCGUCCUAGUUCUGACUAUAAACGAUGCCAACUAGCGAUCGGGGGGCGUUACAUUGACGACCCCUCCGGCAGCUUACGGGAAACCAAAGUCUUUGGGUUCCGGGGGAAGUAUGGUUGCAAAGCUGAAACUUAAAGGAAUUGACGGAAGGGGAAUCACCAGGAGUGGAGCCUGCGGCUU
rnacentral:ncRNA from 1 species